rnacentral:rRNA from 1 species
GACGAACGCUGGCGGCGUGCCUAACACAUGCAAGUCGAACGAAGUGGCGAACGGGUGAGUAAUACGUGGGUAACCUGCCUCCCUUUUUGGGAUAAGCCUUGGAAACGGGGUCUAAUACCGCAUAUCGGGGGAUGGGCUCGCGGCCUAUCAGCUUGUUGGUGGGGGGAUGGCGUACCAAGGCGGUGACGGGUAGCCGGCAUGAGAGGGUGAGCGGACGGAGAGGGAGUGCGAUACGGGCCAGACACCGACGGGAGGCAGCGGUGGGGGAUAGAGCGCAAUGGGAGAAAGCCAGAUGCAGCGAUGCCGCGUGGGGGAUGAAGGCUUUAGGGUUGUUAACCGCUUACGCUAUCGAACGGGUAAGUGGAGAAGAAGCGCCGGCUAACUACGUGCCAGCAGCCGCGGUAAUUC